UCUUUUGUUAAACAUUAAAACACAAUAAGAAAAAACAAUAUUUCAGAUUCAAUUUCCAAAUUUCACUAAUCACGUUCUCUCCAAAGAAGAACCCUAAUUUCGUUUUCCCCCAAUUUCUUCUUCCCCCAAUUUCUUGAUGAAACCAUUUAGCUAGCAAUUCAACUCAACGUUUUGGUACUACAAUCGCAAUUCAACUCAAAGUUUCGGUGCUACAAUCGUAAUUCAUCUCAGCAUCGCAAAUUCAAAUCAGCAUCGCAACUCAACAUUUCCUAUUCUCGUAAUCGUUGGCUUCUUACUCGAUAUCAUGGGGUUGCUUAUAGCUAUCACUUGACAUUGCUUUGAUUUCCAAGUUCUACAAAGCUAAAAAGUCGUACUCAACUCAACCACGCGGAAAACGCAGGCGGUAUCUCCAUUCCGUCACCACCGCGUCCGCCUGCCGUCGCAACUCGUUCAAUCGCUGUCUCUCUUCAUCCCUCAAGGAACCGUAAGUUCUUCAAUUCUUCCUUUAUACACUAUGCAAUCUUACAUGCUGUUUUGAAAGAAAUAGGGCUUCCUUACUUGUUCUACUUCCCAUGUCACAUG